rnacentral:snoRNA from 1 species
CCCACUAAAAAAACUGAAACUUCCGGAUUACCAUGCUUAGACAUUAUUGCCUCCGUAUGUCAUAUCAAGCGCAAAUGGCUGGAAGGAGAUAAAUUUAAACUGCUCUUAGCUUUCCUUUAUGGAAUCUAAUCCAAACUUUUUGCUUUAUUAUUACGUAAUGUUUGGUUCGCUCUAAGAGUAUACUC